rnacentral:rRNA from 1 species
CGACGGUANCAGGAGANAGCUUGCUNUCUUGCUGACGAGUGGCGGACGGGUGAGUAAUGCUUGGGAAUCUGGCUUAUGGAGGGGGAUAACUACUGGAAACGGUAGCUAAUACCGCAUAAGGUCUAAGGACAAAAGGGGGCGUAAGCUCUUGCCAUAAGAUGAGCCCAAGUGGGAUUAGGUAGUUGGUGAGGUAAUGGCUCACCAAGCCUGCGAUCUCUAGCUGGUCUGAGAGGAUGRCCAGCCACACCGGGACUGAGACACGGCCCGGACUCCUACGGGAGGCAGCAGUGGGGAAUAUUGCGCAAUGGGGGGAACCCUGACGCAGCCNUGCCGCGUGAAUGAAGAAGGNCUUCGGGUUGUAAAGUUCUUUCGGUGAUGAGGAAGGNGAUAAGGUUAAUACCCUUAUUAAUUGACGUUAGUCACAGAAGAAGCACCGGCUAACUCCGUGCCAGCAGCCGCGGUAAUACGGAGGGUGCGAGCGUUAAUCGGAAUAACUGGGCGUAAAGGGCACGCAGGCGGAUUUUUAAGUGAGGUGUGAAAGCCCCGGGCUUAACCUGGGAAUAGCAUUUCANANUGGGAAUCUAGAGUACUUUAGGGAGGGGUAGAAUUCCACGUGUAGCGGUGAAAUGCGUAGAGAUGUGGAGGAAUACCGAANGCGAANGCAGCCCCUUGGGAAUGUACUGACGCUCAUGUGCGAAAGCGUGGGGAGCAAACAGGAUUANAUACCCUGGUAGUCCACGCUGUAAACGCUGUCGAUUUGGGGGUUGGGCUUUAAGCUUGGCGCCCGUAGCUAACGUGAUAAAUCGACCGCCUGGGGAGUACGGCCGCAAGGUUAAAACUCA